AGUGGCGUACGGGAGAGUAACACGUAAGUAAUCUACCCUUGGGUGGGGAAUAACUUAGGGAAACCUAAGCUAAUACCACAUAAUGCAGCGGCUCCAUAAGGAGACAGUUGUUAAAGCAUUUAUGUGCCUAAGGAGGAGCUUGCGGCAGAUUAGCUAGUUGGUAAGGUAACGGCUUACCAAGGCGACGAUCUGUAGCCGGUCUAAGAGGACGGUCGGUCUCACUGACACUGAAUAACGGGUCAG
rnacentral:rRNA from 1 species